GUGUCAGCAGCCGCGGUAAGACGUAGGAUGCAAGCGUUGUCCGGAAUUAUUGGGCGUAAAGAGUUCGUAGGCGGUUGCCUAAGUCUGAUGUUAAAUACUGGAGCUCAACUCCGGCAUGGCAUUGGAAACUGGGCGGCUAGAGUGUGGUAGAGGUCUCGGGAAUUCCAGGUGUAGCGGUGAAAUGCGUAGAUAUCUGGAGGAACACCGGUGGCGAAAGCGCGAGACUGGGCCAUAACUGACGCUGAGGAACGAAAGCCAGGGGAGCGAAAGGGAUUAGAAACCCCCGUAGUCC
rnacentral:rRNA from 1 species